rnacentral:lncRNA from 1 species
CAUAUUCCCUCCUUUUCAAAAAGGUGAAUAUUCCAGAGAUUUUUUUUCUUUCAAAAAUACUUAUUUUAUAUUUUCAAUUCAAAUUUUGUAAACUAAUAAUGAAAAAUUGUUAAGUUCAAGAACAUUAAUUGUAUUUUUAAAUUUUUAUUGGCUUAAAAAUAUAGAAAAUAUAAAUUACAAAAAACUAUGUAUUUAUUACUAAGGUUUAAUAUAUUUUAUUAAAAAGUGUGAAAAUUCUAAAACAUGUAUUAUUUUGAAACAGAAGGAGUAUUUAUUAUUCCUCUAUUUCAUAAGUAGCUAAUUUGAGAAAGAUUGUUUUUUGUUUCAAAAUAUAAUUAGUUUGAACAUUUUAAUGCUCUUUGUUGAAUAUUGUGUGAUCAAUUAAAUUAUUAAUGUUUUUUAUAAUUGGUUAAACUUAUGAGUAUUAAAUAAUAUUUUUAAAAGGUAAUAAUUUUUUAAUAAUAGUAUUUUUAUGUAAAAUUACUUACAAUUUGAAACAUCGGGAAUAGUUUCUAAACCAAACGAAUCCAAGACACUUCAACUUUUUUUCUUCUUAAACGAUUAAUCUUAGAUUUACAUUCCAACACUAAAAAUAAACAGAAGUAGACCCAAACUAAAAAAUAUUCACUAAGUAAUUUUGUUGAAUAAUAUUGUUGUUACAAAAAAAAAUUCACUAAGUAAUGAAAAAAUAAUAUGGUUGGUUGCUUAAAUAACACACACUUUGUUAUUGGCAUGUGAUUCAGUCUUAAUGCCCUGUCGCUCACUCUUUAUUAACAUCACGCAAAAUUAAAAAAAAAAGGCUAAAGACGAUGCAAACGAAGUCCAGCCCACUCCAAAUUAAACGAAAACGUGAAGUCUAGAAGCGACUUAAGCCUGUCUGACGUGUCAAAAUAAAAUGUUCUGAUUGGACGAUAUUUUUAAAAGGUAAUAAUUUUU